GCCCCGUUCGUCUAACGGCCAGGACACCGCCCUUUCAAGGCGGAAAUAGGGGUUCGAUUCCCCUACGGGGUG
rnacentral:tRNA from 1 species